AGGAGUCAGCUGUUUACGUAAAUCUACUCCUUGAUAUAUAUUCAUAUAACAGCAUAAAAGUUACUAAAAUCCUUUGUGUAGGAUGGCGAUUGGCGCUUUUCCAGCCGCCAAAUUAGGUGUUUUGGCCAUAAAACAGAUAAGCAAACCUAUAGCUAACGUAAUUAAAAGUAAUGCCAAGCAGAGUCCCAUAUUUCGCAAAUACGUUUGCAUGCCACCGGCUCAAUUAUACAAUUGGGUUGAAGUAAAAACGAAAAUGUGGGCGCUGAAUUUGGGUAAACCCGUAGCAGUGCCGCCGCUUAACGAAGCUAUGGCUAUUGAGCUGGGCGCAAAUUUGCUUGGCGAAGCCAUUAUUUUUGUGAUAGGUGCUGCAGUACUUAUAUUCGAAUAUACUCGCCAGUCUAACAAUGAAGCGAAAAAGCAAGAAACAAUUCGCCAAGAAAAAGCUGAAUUAGCAAUAACACUGGCUGAAAUGGGUUUCCGUUUGGAACGCCAAGAUGCACAAAUUAGGGAAAUGACGCGUGCGCUGGCAGAUUUAGAAUCGCGUAAUAUAUUCAAAUGGACCCGCGAAACAAUCGCUGAAUACCAGCCUUUCAAUCCAAAUACUCCCGAUCAAAGCAAUAUCGUCGUUAAAGAUUUCGAUGGUGACUAUGAUCCGAAUGGUGGCCUACUAUACAGAGCAUUAAACUUCUUAGAGACGCGUGUUUUUGUUGAUGGACGCAAGAGGAAAGAAUCCACUCUACCUUUAACCGUAAGCAAUGACUUGGAUAUCCAACCGUACGUACACGUGGAAAACGAAGCAGUGCAACAAAAUGUGAUCACAAAACAACAGCUUAAAAAUUCAAAAGCGCAGUGACUAGCCGAAGAGCGUGAAUUACUCCAGCUAAAUAAUGAGAUAGCCAAGUUGGAAUAUGCGAUCGAAACGGCUUCAAAACAAAAAUAAAACAUCCGUUCUACAGUUAACUCGUUGAUCAAAAGAUGUAAACGUACAAGUUUUAUUUUCCAUCCUGCCUGAGGAUUUAAUUUGCAUUUGCGCUUAAAGUGUGAUUAUUUGUUAUCGAGUACAUUUAGUUCAGUACUGCACAUACAUACAUAUGUACUUGCAUGUUUCAUACAUUCUGGUUGUAAAUAUUGCUUAUUUUGUAGGACCAAAACGUGUUUUAAUGCUUGAAAUUUGAAUAAAAAGUGUUAAUUAAAAUAUUUAUUGUAA
rnacentral:misc_RNA from 1 species